GGGGAAUCUUCCGCAAUGGGGGCAACCCUGACGGAGCAACGCCGCGUGCGGGAGGACGGUUUGUGGACUGUAAACCGCUUUUAAUAGGGAAGAAGUACUGACGGUACCUAUUGAAUCAGCAUCGGCUAACUCCGUGCCAGCAGCCGCGGUAAUACGGAGGAUGCAAGCGUUAUUCGGAAUUAUUGGGCGUAAAGCGUCCGCAGGUGGUAAUUCAAGUCUGCAGUCAAAGACCGAAGCUCAACUUCGGGCAGGCAGUGGAAACUGAAUAACUAGAGUACGGUAGGGGUAGAGGGAAUUUCCAGUGUAGCGGUGAAAUGCGUAGAGAUUGGAAAGAACACCGAUGGCGAAGGCACUUUACUGGGCUAUUACUGACACUCAUGGACGAAAGCUAGGG
rnacentral:rRNA from 1 species